GAGUUUGAUCCUGGCUCAGAUUGAACGCUCGCGGCAGGCCUAACACAUGCAAGUCGAGCGGAAACGAGUUAUCUGAACCUUCGGGGAACGAUAACGGCGUCGAGCGGCGGACGGGUGAGUAAUGCCUAGGAAAUUGCCCUGAUGUGGGGGAUAACCAUUGGAAACGAUGGCUAAUACCGCAUAAUGCCUACGGGCCAAAGAGGGGGACCUUCGGGCCUCUCGCGUCAGGAUAUGCCUAGGUGGGAUUAGCUAGUUGGUGAGGUAAAGGCUCACCAAGGCGACGACCCCUAGCUGGUCUGAGAGGAUGAUCAGCCACACUGGAACUGAGACACGGUCCAGACUCCUACGGGAGGCAGCAGUGGGGAAUAUUGCACAAUGGGCGCAAGCCUGAUGCAGCCAUGCCGCGUGUGUGAAGAACGCCUUCGGGUUGUAAAGCACUUUCAGUCGUGAGGAAGGUAGUGUAGUUAAUAGCUGCAUUAUUUGACGUUAGCGACAGAAGAAGCACCGGCUAACUCCGUGCCAGCAGCCGCGGUAAUACGGAGGGUGCGAGCGUUAAUCGGAAUUACUGGGCGUAAAGCGCAUGCAGGUGGUUUGUUAAGUCAGAUGUGAAAGCCCGGGGCUCAACCUCGGAAUUGCAUUUGAAACUGGCAGACUAGAGUACUGUAGAGGGGGGUAGAAUUUCAGGUGUAGCGGUGAAAUGCGUAGAGAUCUGAAGGAAUACCGGUGGCGAAGGCGGCCCCCUGGACAGAUACUGACACUCAGAUGCGAAAACGUGGGGAGCAAACAGGAUUAGAUACCCUGGUAGUCCACGCCGUAAACGAUGUCUACUUGGAGGUUGUGGCCUUGAGCCGUGGCUUUCGGAGCUAACGCGUUAAGUAGACCGCCUGGGGAGUACGGUCGCAAGAUUAAAACUCAAAUGAAUUGACGGGGGCCCGCACAAGCGGUGGAGCAUGUGGUUUAAUUCGAUGCAACGCGAAGAACCUUACCUACUCUUGACAUCCAGAGAACUUUCCAGAGAUGGAUUGGUGCCUUCGGGAACUCUGAGACAGGUGCUGCAUGGCUGUCGUCAGCUCGUGUUGUGAAAUGUUGGGUUAAGUCCCGCAACGAGCGCAACCCUUAUCCUUGUUUGCCAGCGAGUAAUGUCGGGAACUCCAGGGAGACUGCCGGUGAUAAACCGGAGGAAGGUGGGGACGACGUCAAGUCAUCAUGGCCCUUACGAGUAGGGCUACACACGUGCUACAAUGGUCGGUACAAAGGGUUGCCAACUCGCGAGAGUGAGCCAAUCCCGAAAAGCCGAUCUCAGUCUGGAUCGGAGUCUGCAACUCGACUCCGUGAAGUCGGAAUCGCUAGUAAUCGUGGAUCAGAAUGCCACGGUGAAUACGUUCCCGGGCCUUGUACACACCGCCCGUCACACCAUGGGAGUGGACUGCACCAGAAGUGGUUAGCCUAACGCAAGAGGGCGAUCACCACGGUGUGGUUCAUGACUGGGGUGAAGUCGUAACAAGGUAACCGUA
rnacentral:rRNA from 1 species